rnacentral:rRNA from 1 species
AACGAACGCUGGCGGCAUGCCUAACACAUGCAAGUCGAACGAGACCUUCGGGUCUAGUGGCGCACGGGUGCGUAACGCGUGGGAACCUGCCCUUAGGUUCGGAAUAACUCCCCGAAAGGGGUGCUAAUACCGGAUAAUGUCUUCGGACCAAAGAUUUAUCGCCUUUGGAUGGGCCCGCGUUGGAUUAGCUAGUUGGUAGGGUAAAAGCCUACCAAGGCGACGAUCCAUAGCUGGUCUGAGAGGAUGAUCAGCCACACUGGGACUGAGACACGGCCCAGACUCCUCCGGGAGGCAGCAGUGGGGAAUAUUGGAAAAGGGGCGAAAGCCUGAUCCAGCAAUGCCGGGUGAGUGAUGAAGGCCUUAGGGUUGUAAAGCUCUUUUACCCGGGAUGAUAAGGACAGGACCGGGAGAAUAAGCCCCGGCUAACCCCGU